rnacentral:misc_RNA from 1 species
UUAAAAAAAAAAAAAAAAAAACAUCAGACUUGGAUGCAUCGAACUAACAAUCUCAAUCUCUCUAGCCGAUAUAGAACUCACAUUAAUUACUAAAGAAAAAAAUGAGAAAGCAAUUUCAAAUUAUUUAAAAUUUCACCUUAGGAUACCCUUAGGCUUCCUUACUCUCUAUAAAUUUUGAUUUUGCUAGAAAACAAAUGAAACAAUGGAAGAAACUAUCCUUGAUAAUUUUAUGAAUUUCGUAUUGUUUGAAAUAAGAGAAAAAAAAUUAAUAGAAUAACAUUUUAUCUUUUAAAAUUUUGCUUUUCAUUACCGCGCCGUAGCUUUUUUUGGCUUCAGAAAUAGGGGGAAAAACAAAAGAAAUUUUGUAAGAAAGGAAAGAGAGAGCUACAAGAGUUUGAAGUUUAGAUUUUUGUACUAUGAAACUAACACUUGACCACUAGUUUAAUAUCUGAAAAAGAUAGAUAUAUAUGCAUAUAAGGGUUUAUGUGCGAGACAGUGAAGGCAGACAGUAGAUAUAUACGUUGUGAUCAGGACUAACAAGAUGGCUACAUUCUUGGAUAGACAAAACGGCCAUUGAACACUCUAUUUAUGCACCCCUCACCUACCACGAUAUGGACAAACAUGCUCUUGAAGAAGAAUAAUCUACUAAUAAAUUGUCAUCAUAGGGUGUAUAUGUAAGCACCUUGCAGGAGAAAUAUAAAGGUGGGGACCUGGGGUCUUGUUCUAUUUAUUAGGAGCAAAGAGAGAUAGAGCUUCCGAAAAGAUUUCCAUCUGAGAUAUUCUUUCCAUGCUACUAAUAUAAACAUCUUCUUUAGGUUACUCUUAAAGUCUUGGAAGCAUGCAAAUUUUAGUAGGACAGGUGGUGGUGGUGUUUCCAUCCACUAAAACCAAAAUGUGAUACAUUUUCAUUCAUUCGGAUUAUACAAAAAAAUACAGGUUCUUUUAACCUCUGAACUUGCAUUAAUGAAAACGAGAGAUCUACUCCUUUCUUUAGUGGACUAGACGACAUGGGCCAAGCCUUAUUUUUUUAGGGAGAAUUACUUUUAGUGCAUAGAAUUUGCCAUUAUGGAGAAUUACUUUUAGUGCAUAGAAUUUGCCAUUAUUCAUUAAGUCAUAUUAGUUACUUUCUAAAAUUUAAAUUCGUUAAAUGAAAAGUUCCUUUCUUCCAUAUUAUACAGAUUUAGUCAUUAAUGUUUGUAAAAAUAUGAAAUUUAACCUUGUUCAUACCCUCAUCAUCUCUGCCACCCACCCCAAUACCCGAUCAUUAAUCUCUCGCUCCUAGUCCUAACCUCUCCAUCCCAAACUCAGAUGCUCCCCCAACCAAUCUGAGCUAGUCACGAACCAACAUUCCCUCCCUUUGCUGGUCGUGAGCCUCCCUCAUUUGUUACACUCGAUCAUCAUUAACAAACUAAUAAAGAUUCACAGGCAAAACAAUAGAGUACUGCAGAAGAAUGAGCAGAGGGAGAAAUGAUGGUAGUGGUGGUAGUGUUGAGAGAGAGAGUGUAAGGAGGGAUUUAGAGAAGAAUUGGCUUGAGAAAAGGCAAAGUACAGGGAUGCCCAUAGGAAUUGUGUUGCGAAAUUAUGCACACUCAUACUAACGAAAAUAAGAGAAAAGAAAUAAUCAAGAAGGGAGACAUAAGGUCUGUUUAUG